CUCCUCCUAAUGUUUUCUCUUUCACUGCUGUUCAUGAAAGUGUAGAAGAAAUAUUAGUUAUAUCUGGCAGUGAUCAGACCUCAUGUACAGGUGUGGUCCCUUACUACAGACACAGCCUAAGGUAACCUAACCCAAUCAUUUCAGAAGGUGGAAUUUGAGUCGGCCAAGCCUCAGAAAUGCAGGAAGGAUUAGCGGUGAUGACUGCAGGCUGCCAUCGACCCGCAGGUGUGAUGGUGCCCGACCAGCUGGUACACAUCAGUGAGAUGGUGGUGGUGCUGGAAAACAGCUGGUUUGCCAAGUGCAGCGUCAGGCAGGCUGCCCGCCCACACAGUCACCAGAAGGAUCACAGGUCAUCACAGGAAUCAAAUGCAGCAUCAGUAUGGCUCACCAAACACUUCCCCUCACACUGGUGGUGUUGACCUGCCUUGUGAACACCUGAUCUCCUGUGCUCCUGUCCUUCACAGCUCUCCAGGUGACAUCAGAUGUGGAUGAGGGGACAAGAGAGCCAGUGUUCCAAGUACCACCACCAUCACCACUGCCACCACCACCACCACCAUCAGGAGCACAGAUUCACUGAAGUCUCUACCAAGAUUUCUUUGAGUUUUUUGAUAAAUUUAACUUCCAGGAGAGAGAGAGACAGAGAUGAUUGUUACUGGCAGUGUGUGAAGCCUGCCCACUGUCUUUGUAUAUACAGAAGGUGGAAUUUGAGUCGGCCAAGCCUCAGAAAUGCAGGAAGGAUUAGCGGUGAUGACUGCAGGCUGCCAUCGACCCGCAGGUGUGAUGGUGCCCGACCAGCUGGUACACAUCAGUGAGAUGGUGGUGGUGCUGGAAAACAGCUGGUUUGCCAAGGGCAGCGCCAGGCAGGCUGCCUGCCCACACAGUCACCAGAAGGAUCACAGGUUCCAUUCACAGGUAAAGCCUCAUCAGACACAACACAGAGUGCAGCUUCUUCUGAGAUACCAGUGGUCUGAAGUGAAGCUGCAAGAAGUUUUCCCAGCACAGAUCUUCACUUACAUUUCUGUUGCCAGCACAUCUCCCGUCAGGUCUUGGGAGCACCGGGUGUUGUUCGGCAGGAAGGAGGCCAGGUUGUUAGGGCACGGCCUCACCCCACUGUCGCACACACCCACAGGCAUGAGGGGUGCCAGCCAGCAGGCCACGUCCCCAACACAGCUCCCACCUGCAUCCUGACCUCAUUCAGCAUCAACACCAGCCACACAGAAAAGUGAUGCUCCUGCAACAGCUGACGUUUACCUUUGCCAGUCACCUCGUCCAUGCUGAACUGCUCCACCAGCACCUUUGAAGCAGCUGUCCUACAUCCUCCUGGAAGCAACAGCAUACAGUCAUCACAGGAAUCAAAUGCAGCAUCAGUAUGGCUCACCAAACACUUCCCCUCACACUGGUGGUGUUGACCUGCCUUGUGAACACCUGAUCUCCUGUGCUCCUGUCCUUCACAGCUCUCCAGGUGACAUCAGCUGAGUGCAGCUGUCGGUGACUGCAGGAAUGGACCUCAGAUGGUGGAUACAGCAUUACCAAGUCAAGAAGGAGACACUGUGAUGUGGCUGCAGGUGGAUAGAUACCAGGAUAUGUGACCACCACCACCACCACCACCACCAUUGGAGAUGCCCCUCCCUAGUUGCACAUUACGGCCCUGUUGUGUACCCUGGUGGCCUUCAUAGUUGACCGGCAUACCCUUGGCCUCCAUGUCCAUCCAGCAGGAGGAAGAUGUUCUGGACACCUGGUUCUCCUCUUGCCUGUUUCCUUUUGCCUCGCUGGGCUGGCCAGGUCUGGGGAGGAGAGAGACCAUGCCUGACCUUGCUCGCUUCUACCCAACGACCUUGGUGGAGACGAGUCACGACAUCCUCUUCUUCUGGGUGAUUCAGAUGGUCAUGCUGGGACUCAACCUGACGGGGAGGCUUCCCUUUGAGAUCGAGCCGUGGUGGUGGUGACUGGCAGGCUAGCACAGAGACUGGACCGUGGACGCCAGCGCUGUGUGGUGGUGCGGGUCACAGUGCCACAGCCAGGCCAGGUCACCCUACACGACCUGACCUUGCCUCAUGGGUUGUACCAGGUCAGGGUUGUCAAAAUGGUUGAGACAAGACAGCUGGAUGAGGUCACUGAUGGAGGAAGAAGAGGAGGAGGAGGAGGGGAAGAAGAAGAAGGAAGAGGAGGAGGAGGAGGAGGAGGAGGAGGAGGAGGAGGAGGAGGAGGAGGAGGAAGGAUAAUCGUCAAAAAGCAUCAGUUUUUUGUACCCACAGAGAGGCGGAGAGAGAGGAUCCUGGUGAGAAACAGAAGGCACAACAAGAUCACCACGUCUCAGCCCAGCAGGCAGUGGCUUCAGCUGUCUAACACUGACCUCAUCCUACGGAAAUACAGCGCACAGGAGAGACGACAAGAAAAUUCGACCUACGGAAGAAUUACUGGUGACGGGAGGGGAGGAAGAGGCCCCUGUGUCUGCUGCAAUUGCUUUAGUUUCUUUCUAGAUUACAACAACAUGACGGCUGUGCUAACUUUCAACUACAGCCUCAAUGAAUCCUGCCAGGCUGUAUGCUCUAGAACUGUGUAACUUUGAAGAAGUUACAGGUCCCCGGCACGCCUGCCUGGUUCAUGGCCGCAUCACACAAGACCAAGGUUGUAGCCAAGAACAUCUCCAGAAUUGCUCUCAUCUCAGAGGAGGCGACCAAAUACACCGCACAACAAACAACUGUACGAGCUCCGCAAGACAAGCCUGGCUCGGGUGAUCUGCGACAACAGUGACAAGCUACAGUACGUCCAGCCCAAAGUAAUGCUGGAGGCCGACUCUUUCCUUGGCUUGGCAGAGGAGAGAACAGAUCAACCAAGCAACGUCCUUCACUGACGGGUCGGUGAUCUACGGGUCCAGCAAGGAGGAGAGCGACGAGCUGCGUGCCUUCUCUGGCGGCCUCCUCAAGGUGCAGCGCUGCCCGGCAAACACCCAGAUUCUUACGGCCGACACCAACCAAAU